AUAUCUAAAUAACAAAAUCUGAUCUGAUCUAUUGAUUUUUGGUAUUUUGCUCUAUGUAAAAUCAAACACCAUCCUGACGGUUCUCAGUACCAAAAAUUUACGCAAUAUGUGACGUCAGCGGGAACGAGACUCGAGUAAAAAGUGAAUGACAGAGCAUGACAAAAACAUCCCUACACGGAUAUGGAGUUGGUACUAUUUGGAUGGAGGUGUGAACAUGAUGACAUGCCUGUUGGCUGUAUAAAAGUCAAAAGAAGAGAAGAAAAGAUCCUUCCAUAUUUUUCCAGAGUGUCUUUCCGCCAUUAAUAGCAGAGAACCUUAAGUUUGCACAUGCAGAUUUGCAAAGACUCUUUGGAAAAGAUUUUAACAGCAUAACAACCAACAACAUUCUGGAAGAAUUCAUGGAUACAGUGAUUGAUGAAGAAACAAGCCUUUUCGAGAAGUGGAAGAAGAAGAAAUUUGAAUUAUGUUCUUAUCUAAAUAAAGAAGAUUUUCCUAAGAAGAUUAUUGUCAUUGUUUUCUGUUAAUGUUAAUUCUGUAUAAAG